UAUUUAAAUUUUCUUUUCAUGCUUGAUUGCUAUUUUGAUUGCACUUAGUUUCAUUGAUUUUUUUUAAUUUAAUUAAAUUACAUUGAUUCAUUUUAAUUUUUUUCGAUACCAUGGUUUAUGAAAAUGACAAACUAUUAUCAAUUGGAAGAAAAAAUAUUAAGCUUUUUCUGAUUUUAUUUGAGGCAUAUUAGGAUUCAUUUGGCAUUUUGAAACUAAUUGAAAAAGGAAAAAAUAUAUAUAUAAUAAUUGUUGAUCUUGCCGAAUCGGCCCAAACUAAGUCAAGCCAGGCCGGGUCGAUUCGUGUUACUAACUGAGUCGAUUCGAUUCAAGAAAUAGCUCAAAAUUGGUAAAGUUGGGUUGGUUAGACGUGGAUAAAAACUAGCCCGGCGUGACCCGUGGCCCACUCCUAACAAUAGCCCUUUUGGGAAAAUGGUCAGAAAAUAUGUCAGGAUAAUGUGGUUGAUUUUGUUCUAAUAGCUUGAUAAAAUAGAGAUGGGAACCCUCCUGAUCAUGUUUUGGAACUGUUGGUGGUCAAUUUCCGAGGCCUCAAGCGCAAAUGAGUAUAUCGCCAACUCAUCCGGUUAAGGAUAAGUUUUGUUCACCAGUUCAUACCCAGCAAUAAAGUCUACGAAUGGUGUUUCAUCAUGCUUCAAAUUCGACAGUGCGCCAAUGCUUAUUGUUAGAAAACAAGCUCUUCUACUAUUAGGCUUCAUUUCUUCAAAGUUAAAGUUAAGUAAAAAGUUACUUAUUAAAAGGUUAUGUUUAAUUUUAUAGUUGUUAGAUUGUUAGAUUAAAUUCAAUUUUAUUGAAAGGGUUAAGUAUAAUAAACUAGGAAAUUGAGUAAAAUAAAAGAAAAAUUAGUCUUAGUGAUUAAAGAGUCUUUAAAAAUCGCUUAAACAUAAAAUGAUUAAGUUUGGGUAUCGCUUAUUUAAUUAUUGAAAUUACUUAAAAUAAAUAAUUGUUGAUUUAAAAAUUAUAUCAUAUUUCAAGUGGCGAUACGGAUAUCGGGACAACUUACCAACCGAGUUGAUUUUAGCGUAUAUAGUUCUGUAAGUAAAAAAAUAUAAAUAUUUUUAAAGUAUUUAUAAAUUAAGCACAUUAAUAAAAUAUGUGCAAUUAUGUGUUCGAUUUUAUAACUAUUACAAAAACUUCUUUUAUUAUGAUACAUGUGAAUCUCAAAGAUUAUUUAUGGCACAUUUGUGACUUGGUAUGUAAGACGUGUGAUAUUGAGAUUUUUUUGGUAUGUGAGACAUGUAAUAUUGAGAUCGGCCAAAAAAAUUCCCAUGAUUAUAUACUUCUUCUAG
rnacentral:lncRNA from 1 species